GAUCCUGAAAUAUCAAUAUCUGUUUUAAUCCUUUGCCUGUUAACAGUAAUCCCAUACUUCUUGUUUGCAUGAUAUAUUUAUUAAUAUCAUGUAAUUCAUUGUCGUAUUUAAAAAUGUUAAUAUGAAACUUUGGGCAUCUUAAGGAGGCAUAUAUACCUAGCAAGGUCAAAAAAAUCAAUUUUUGUAUUAUUACAUAUUUAUAAUGUUUAAUAUUGUGAGAUUCUUUAAUUAUUUUAUUUAAAAUACAUUUUUGGGUAUUUAAACGUAAAGAUUAAUUGUACGUGUUAGUCCUUUUAAAACGGAAAGAGCGACUCACUGAUGAUCGGUUGCCUAGCAACCAAACAACAGGACAGAACUGCAAUGCCUUGUAUGUAUUAAUAAACUAUCAGGCCCGCGGCGUAUUACAUAUUACAAUUUUACAAUUUUUCGAGAAUGUCUGGUGAAAAUUUCAAGUCAAAAUUCCGAAAAAUAACAUAUUAUAGUUUUAUUAUAUGACUGAUAGCAUAUUGGCACGCUGCACCGCGCCGCGCGCUGUUGAGAUAUUAUGGUUUGAUCACGGCCCGUCCCUUUGGUUUCGUGUCUAAUACUUCGUGUCUAAUAUCUCAAAGACGCAUUAUUGGAGCGCUGUGUUGGUGACUAUACUCACAACAGAAUAGCAAUAAAAGUUUUAACAGUAUAAUUUGGAAAAUAGCUUUAAAAACGCACAGCGGUGCUAUUACAGUAGAAAUUGCUGCAUACAUAGCUGCUUGCAUGUUCAACGAUGAUAUAACUUCAAUAUUACGAAUAAUGAGCAUUAUGGGCAUUUCUCUCGGACCGAAUGCACACCAAUAUGCUGCGCGCGAAGAUGAUCGCCGCAUAACGCAAGUCGAGGUAUAUACGCAGGAACAGACAAAAGAAGCGCGAAUAUGUCGCCGACAACAAAAUUUAGACGAUAUGUGCAUCUACUGCAGAGAACUUGUAUUAUGGGCCUAGAAUUGACGACUCUGUUUGAUUUUUGAUGAAGUUACACUUGGUACCGUUUUAAGAGAUUUUUUCAAGGCUGCCUCUUCGCGACACCGUAUCUCCGAUAUUUUGCGCAAUUUUUUAAUAAAAAAAAUUAUAAAGUUUCUUCAAAAUGUAUAUUUUCAAAAAAACCCACAGUUCGGUAAUUUCAUCAGUUUCCAACAAAAAUUCCAAGAAAUUGCCAUUUUUUGGCCUCCUAGGUAUAUGGUAUAUGCCUCCUUAAAGAAAUUUAGCAUUUGCUCCAUUCUCUUCAUGACUAUCAUACAUUUAAUAUCAUUGACACAUUAAGCAUUAUCAUAGGUAAUAAUAUACAUUAAUAUUAUUAGUUAUUACUUAUUAUUUAAAAAAUCACAAUUAAAUUUUAAUUCUAAUUUCUCGACAUAAAUAUUACAAUAGUUUGAUAACAGUUGUGGAAUUAUAGAGAAUGCUCUUCAGAUAUAGGUUCGUUCAAUAAUGUGCUACUGCUUCUUCUUUUUUAUAACAGAGCGUUGUGGAGCGUUUUAGCCAUACCUUAAUGCAUUCGUGUACUUGAUGUUCGUAAAACCGGGUAGUCCCUUAAGAACUGAUGAAAUCACCACACUAUUGACCUUUAGUAGCACAAAGGACCUUUUAUUAUUCCGCUUUCCAUAAAAACUGUACAACGAUGCAAUUUGAUUUGAUAAAAGGCUAUGAAGUA